GAGUAAUGUCUGGGGAUCUGCCUGAUGGAGGGGGAUAACUACUGGAAACGGUAGCUAAUACCGCAUAACGUCGCAAGACCAAAGAGGGGGACCUUCGGGCCUCUUGCCAUCAGAUGAACCCAGAUGGGAUUAGCUAGUAGGUGGGGUAACGGCUCACCUAGGCGACGAUCCCUAGCUGGUCUGAGAGGAUGACCAGCCACACUGGAACUGAGACACGGUCCAGACUCCUACGGGAGGCAGCAGUGGGGAAUAUUGCACAAUGGGCGCAAGCCUGAUGCAGCCAUGCCGCGUGUAUGAAGAAGGCCUUCGGGUUGUAAAGUACUUUCAGCGGGGAGGAAGGGGAAGUGGUUAAUAACCAUUUUCAUUGACGUUACCCGCAGAAGAAGCACCGGCUAACUCCGUGCCAGCAGCCGCGGUAAUACGGAGGGUGCAAGCGUUAAUCGGAAUUACUGGGCGUAAAGCGCACGCAGGCGGUCUGUCAAGUCGGAUGUGAAAUCCCCGGGCUCAACCUGGGAACUGCAUCCGAAACUGGCAGGCUUGAGUCUUGUA
rnacentral:rRNA from 1 species